CGAGAACAUGCCAACAGGCAAAUAAGCCUUUCUUAAAAUCUAUCUCCAUCCCUGCAUGAUGUAUAUAGACCACACCUCACGUAACCUAGAACAAACCGCUCUAAUCCCUAAUCAAUAUCACAGACUUCGCUUGCGUUCUACUGUGUGAUUGAAUUCCGUUAAAUAAAAAGGUCUUAUGCCAGCAUUGUCAAAAGGCUCUGCGCCUCCAAACGUUACGAUAUUGAUGUGUUUAAAUUGGUUUUGUGCAACUUGUGCG